rnacentral:rRNA from 1 species
UAGGGAAUAUUGCACAAUGGGGGAAACCCUGAUGCAGCGACGCCGCGUGAGUGAUGAAGGCCUUCGGGUCGUAAAGCUCUGUCGUAUGGGACUAACACAAUGAAGGUACCAUGCAAGAAAGGAUCGGCUAACUUCGUGCCAGCAGCCGCGGUAAGACGAGGGAUCCUAGCGUUGUUCGGAAUUAUUGGGCGUAAAGCGGGUGUAGGCGGAUUUAUAAGUCAGGUGUGAAAUCCCAGGGCUCAACCCUGGAAGUGCACUUGAUACUGUAGAUCUUGAGUGUGGUAGAGGUUACUGGAAUUCCUGGUGUAGUGGUAAAAUACGUAGAUAUCAGGAGGAAUACCGGAGGCGAAGGCGAGUAACUGGGCCAACACUGACGCUGAGACCCGAAAGCGUGGGGAUCAAACAGGAUUAGAUACCCAGGUAGUCCCUGAGCGGGCUGGCAAGGCGCAU